rnacentral:rRNA from 1 species
UGUGUAGGCGGAAGAUUAAGUCAGUGGUGAAAUCCUGCAGCUUAACUGUAGAACUGCCAUUGAAACUGAUUUUCUUGAGUACAGUUGAGGUAGGCGGAAUGUGUAAUGUAGCGGUGAAAUGCUUAGAUAUUACACAGAACACCGAUUGCGUAGGCAGCUUACUAAACUGGUACUGACGCUGAGGCACGAAAGCGUGGGGAGCGAACAGGAUUAGAUACCCUGGUAGUCC